UUGUUUAAUAGACAACAUUUAAGCAAUGGAGAAUAUUUUUCUUCUAGUAAAAUUUGACACUUCUUAAUAAACAAGUAUUGAAUACUUCCUAGUUCUUGAGCACUGACAGACCAAAGAUAAACGAG